GUGUAUUACAACAGGUUUGAUGAAGGAUGGUAUUGUAACUUUUAAGUAUAUGGAUGCUUUCAGAGUUCAGAUGUUGUCUAUGAGAGAAUAAAGAUUUCCUCGCAUUUAGCAUCAGACAAAAUUCACAUUUCAAGGUACGAUUGGAA